rnacentral:rRNA from 1 species
GGAGGAGUAGAGCAGGUAGGUGGGUACCUUUGGGGGAGAAGGUGUCUAGGUGGGUGGGUGCGGGUGGUCAAGACCGCUACCUACCCCGCGUGGUCAAGAUCGCUACCUACCCCGCGUGGUCAAGAACGCUACCGUCACGGCCUGGGCGUGGGUGGACACGCUACCUCCAGUCGGCGUAGUUCUAGGUGGACGCGCUACCUCCGGCCGGCCUAGCCACACCGCGCCGUGUGGUGUGGCCUCGAACUACGACACGACCAGCAGCUGUUGCUGCGUUGAGGCUGCCCUGGAUCUGCGGGUUCCAUGCAUGCGGCAAGAACGGUUGAGAAGGUAGAGGAGAGUACGCACCGAACGCAUGACGUCUAGACUGGGGGGUAGGAAGGAAGGAACACAAGUGCCUUGCUGUUGCCGUUCCCCUGCUGGCUACACGCACCACCUGGUCCUCCACCUCUUGGCAGAGCGGGAGGAACAAGUGUAGUGGAGGGAAACGAAAGGGAACCUGUGAACCUCUCUCUCUUCCUUCUACCGCCUGCUCCCCUACCGGUUAACGUAGCUGUAGUAGGAGCGGUAGUAGGACGGCGGCGAGCCGCAGUAGGAGUUCAAGCGGACACCCUAGCUCAAGACUUAGACGAACGACGAGUGGAAGAAGCCGAUGGAGGGACCGUAGUAGAUGCGGCAGACCCAGUAGUGAUUCAUCCACGACCUCCCCGAGGAGUGGAGACCGACGGAGAUCCACUGGGUUCCAACGACUUCUCCUCGGCGUCGGCGUGUUCUCAUAGACUUCUACUGAGGAGGCAAAGAUUGGUAGGGGAAGGAAGGUGACAAAACCUACUACUUGAACUAGGAAGAAUUAGUUAAUUAAAGAGUAGUACGAAUUAAUCGACAUUUACACGGGGGAAUACCUUCUUCUUCUUCUAUUAUGUUUACAUUAAAUUAACCUACCAGAGAAAGUAGCACGAAUUAAUCGAUAUUUACACGGAGGGAAUGACUUCUUCUAUUCUUAGGUAUACACAAUGCGUUUUAAUUGAAACAGUAGAACAUUCGUGAGAUCCGUCACAGAUCUCCCACUUUUAUACUCUUGUUUUUUUCUUAAUGAACUAAUUAAAUUUUAUAGGUAGGAAAUGAGGCAGGUACAGUAACAAUAAAUGGGGACCCUCAUAAAAAUUGAACUUUUAGAGACCACUUGACGGUAAAGCUCAUGUAAAAGAACGAGACAAUUAAAAAAACCCAAUGAGGUAGAACGAAACAAUUCAUUUUAAACUAUACACCUCAUCGUCGUCAUUCGAUCUGGGAGGUAGAACGAGACAUGUAUCAGUUUCGAUGAGGUUCAAUCGUCGUUAUGAUAAUUGAAGAGUUAAACGAACCUAAUGUAAAUUGAAGAUCAUGAGGUCAUGAGGUCAUUAAAACGAAUCUCAUAAAUUGUUCUAACUUGACAUGUACACACCUCAUUAAAACGACCCUCAUAAAUUGUUCUAACUUGUUCUAAAUUGAACAGUUGUAAGUUGUCAUAAAAGUCAUUCAUAAGACUUGUACGAAGAUUUAUAAAGAUCUAAAACUUGUACGUUCGUUUAGACGUUCUCAUUUGUUCAAGAACGCCAUCUAUAACGUUCACAAAAUAGAUUUGUAGAUGACAGUGGCUUCUAUAAAGUUCACCAGACUGGUCUAAAAGAGUCAAACGUUCAAAUGAAUGAAAAGGUCAAUUAAUUGACCUGUAGAACCUCAUCAAUCUUUUAGUACUUAAUAAACGUCUUUUGGUAUCUUCAUAACAUGAGGUCCCACGUAAUGAAUGUAUUUGAACGAACGUUCGAAUAAAAGACUGAGUGUAUUUUUCGAAUCAAUUGAAGACAUCAUGAAACCCAUUUUUACCUUACCAAGGUAGGACGUGUUGUAUGAAACUCACUUACAACUCAUGACAUACGUGAACACAUUAUAUACAACCAACUACUUACGGACCCACACAGUGACGAACAAGGUACGAUGUAAAUCCUUAACAAGUAAAAACACAAUACUGUUGAAGUGACGUAGGACAGCUUUGGAAAAAUUUUAGAACAUCUAAGAUCACGAUGGUGUGUUGAUCUAGUCAUAAACUAAUGACAAUGUUCACCUCCAGAUUUAGUCGUCUCUUAUCCCCACUCUACAUGUACAGGGUUGGAGGAAGGGAGGGUACAUACUUAUGCGAGAGUUCAUCAGUAAAAACACUUACCCGUAUACUAUUCUUGAUUCUUAAGUGGAAGUGAUUAACAGAUACUAUAAAGUAGUCCUAGAUAUUCAUGAACUCCAUGUAUAACCGGCGUGGUGGUUAAACACAUCAAGAACCCGGGAGAACCAUCACCCAAGAGUCAUCCUGAUAUCUCAACUAUCAUACGAAGAUACGUAGGGGUAAAUACUCAAUACGUCUUAUUCUUAAUGUUAAACGACGUUAAGUCUACAAAACUUAAGAAGUUAGAACUUAACAAGUUACUACUAUCGAUAGAACGUGGCAUGAUAUUUUAGUACCUAGCCGUUGAUCCACUAACAGUUAGGCAAGAACGAUCUACACAACAACAAAAAGAAGAAGAUUCUAUUCUACCAUCGUAGUGUACAGUAGGAUAGUACAAGAUGAUCAAGGAAUUCACAUUCUAUUCUACCACCGUAGUCUACACACAAGACUGAACACUGACGAAUGAUGUACCUAUGUACAUCGAUCGAUCGUUGGAUCGUCAUGAUCAUUCUUAUAUACACUGAUUAAGGGAGGGAUAUGGAACACUAACUAAACUAAGGUCCAUAUAUGUCUACGGUAGAAACAGACCGUUGUAUACGUGGACUAAUGUAAGUCCACGUAUAUCAUAUGAACUUGUCACAUUACUCUUACAAUAUACGUACCAAAGGACAACGUAUGAAGUUAACGUACGUACGUACAAACGGCAAGGGACCUGAUAAACUGACGAAACGUAUGCCGAACACAGAACGACGAGAGACUGGACAACAUGACAGGUAUACAAUGAACUAGUAAACGUUUUAUAUAGAGCCAAAAGCGACAUUACUCUUACAAUAUACGUACCAAAGGACAAUUUAGAUUUCAAAACGUCGUUUAAAAGUAGCAAUACUCUUAAAAUAUAAGUACCUAAGUGAACUAAUACAAAGAUUGAAAAGUAUUAAAUAAUAAACGUCUACGACCGAAAGUAAGAAGGUUUCAACCCACAUGUACUGGAGAUCCUUCUUCUUAGGACUUCUUUUUGGUGUGGGUUGUUACGCAAAAUCGAGUGAUCUCUAUCAAUACGAACGUCGAUCAAUACACAUAUAAAUCAACAUAAAAUAUCGACUUAUGGUCUUAACAUGAUACGAACCGACAAUAUACUUUAUAAUA